CCUUUUUGGGGGGUCAAAUUACAUACACAUUUUGGAAGUAAAGAAAACGUUUGCUUAGUUGAUCUAUUGAUUUUUAACCUGACAGCCAAAACAAUCUAGUAGAUCUGGUCCGCUAACUAGUUCAACCCUUAGGUCACACUGAACUUUCGUCGAGUCAAAAACACACGUUUCGGUUUAUUUCUAGCUCCGACGUUUUCCCAAAGAUCGAUACCUAGUGACGUAGCCCUUCACGCGAUGUGCGGCGAAGCGGCGGACAAAAGCCUAAAGAGGAAGUGGAAUAUCUUGGUAGUAAAGAAUCUUUGGUUUUCCCUUUGGCACAGAAGUUUUCGAUCCCAGGAUGCAACAUCUGCGUGUUUUGCCACCCGCCCGCACACAGCACAUCUCCGGGUUUUCGUGACGUAAGCUACUGUCACUCGAAAAAGGGGAAGAAUAACGGAAAUUCUUCAGCUUUGACACCGAUUCAACUGAUAUACUGAGCAGCUUUGCUUAUCUGUGAAGGCCCAGCUGACAACUGACAAGUCUGACUCGUGACUGUAAAUCCACAAGCCUGAUAUAUAUUUCAGGUCAACUACAGUGGCACGUACGUCUAGGUAUAAGCGAAGGUGUCAUAUGGGGUUGGAUCACUCGACCACAAGAUGAGGAACACCUCAUUCAUUGGUGAUGGAGAUUCAAAAUCAUUCCCACUGUAUUGGCCCUCAACCUCUAUGAUUCCAUACUCAUAAAGGAGGUGGCGUGUGUCAACCAUGUGGCAAAACGGAGAAGAUUGGAUGUCUCCUGUCCUAUUACUCAAAACCUGUGAGGUCGUUCAACUCUUUCCACCGCUAAUGUGAGACGCAGUUGUGGCCACGUUGCUGCACAGCACCAGCACAGAUGGAGACCCACAUCAUGACAGAUGCCCACCUACUGGUGAAAACAACUGGUGCUUUUACGAUAUUAUAAUGCGGAUAGGUUGCACACAGAAGACUCGAAAUCAUGCCUCGUCGAACUGUGCCUGCAGCCCAAGGUUUUUUUUCUUCUUUUUCUUUAUAAUAAGAUAUCCCUUGAACUACCGAGGCCGGUCCUAACAUCAUCGAGCUAUUCGUGUUAUACUGUGGACCAACUUUUACAAAAGGCAUUACAUCAGUGAAGGAAACAUAGCACCAUCACACAAGGGAAGGCCUUCUGUCCCCCUCAAACCCCUUGUUGCCUCACUUGUGAAGCACAGAUGAGCUAGUGGAGAUCAAGUAUGUGCCUGGCGUGACACAAAAACAGAAUGAGAGUUUCCGUGUUCACAUCUAGUAGAAGUGGCCUGACCUAAGAGAAGACGAUCUUUGUGACCAAACCAAGAGUAGCAGCAGCUUGAGCUAUCUCUACUGCAGACUGGGGUUUGGAGGCCUUUGGCAGCCUGACGUUUGUGCCAUUUCUGAAGCUGCAGGUCUCAGCCCAAACCAUGGACAGUGGCACCAGAAGGGACUGUACCCAAAUAGAGAAGACAGAGACUGCCAUAGAGGGUGUGGCUUAGAAAAGCAGGAAAGGAACCAUUUAUUAGAGGAUGAAAAACGGACAGACAGACCUCUCUUCUUCCAAGGCAAAGUUACUGAUUGGAAUAAAGAAGUCCUUCUGCAAUUUA